rnacentral:misc_RNA from 1 species
CAUAAUAAACUAAGAAAACCCUAAUUUCAAGCCUCACCCCUCCAUCCUCUUACUUAAAGUAAAAUUGCCUUUGAUUUUGAUUAUUUUCUUUUAUUUUUUUUAUUAAUUUGAUUUGAAGCCGAUUAUACAGCCCUACCUAAAUCUAACCUUCGAUUUGGGUUUUGUAAUGAACAAAAGAAAAGGCUUCGCUUUGAAGACUCGAGCUUCACAAACGACAUAUCGUUCGACGUAGAAAUCUGCCUUUGCCAGGGUUCACCUAAGUCCAGGUGGUUCUGAUUUGCACCGAGUUCGGUUCAUGGAAAUUGCAAAUACAAAAAAUCUGUGCGAAGGUUCAGCACCCGUCUCAGAUUAUUAAUUUACAGUUAUCUUACUUUACCUUAGCUGCUGCAAUUCUCUGGCUCUGAUAAUGUGAAGAAGACAUCUAGACAGCGGAGAGAAGUUCUACCUGGGGAGCCUAAUGUGUUACAUGUGGUAUGGGGAGUAUAUGCUUCUGAUCAGACUAAUGAUGGCAAUUGUAGCUUAGAAUGCAAACAAAUCUUCUAUUGCUAAUUCCCAGGUUUCAGUUGGCCCUACACCUCCUCUAUGGUUAGUUGCGAAGCAUCAGUGCUUUUAUUUUAGAGACUCUGAUGAUAAAUCAAGACCCUUCUCUUUAACUAAUGAUCAAACUGAAUUACUGAGAAGGAAGCUUGAAAUCCAUGUGAAGGGGGAAAUGGUUCCAGAUUCCAUUUUGUCAUUCUCUUCUUUUAAUCUUCCUCAGAAGCUUCUGUAGAACAUAGAAGCUGCAAGAUAUGGCAUGCCUAUUGCUGUCCAGAUGCAAGCAAUCCCAA